rnacentral:rRNA from 1 species
GGCCAGACUCCUACGGGAGGCAGCAGUGAGGAAUAUUGGUCAAUGGCCGCAGGGCUGAACCAGCCAAGUCGCGUGAGGGAUGACGGUCCUAUGGAUUGUAAACCUCUUUUGUCAGGGAGCAAAGGGCGCCACGUGUGGCGCUUUGCGAGUACCUGAAGAAAAAGCAUCGGCUAACUCCGUGCCAGCAGCCGCGGUAAUACGUAGGGAGCAAGCGUUGUCCGGAUUUACUGGGUGUAAAGGGAGCGUAGACGGCACUGCAAGUCCGGAGUGAAAGCCCAAGGCUUAACCAUGGGACUGCUCUGGAAACUGUGGAGCUUGAGUGCGGGAGGGGCAGGCGGAAUUCCUAGUGUAGCGGUGAAAUGCGUAGAUAUUAGGAGGAACACCGGCGGCGAAGGCGGCCUGCUGGACCGUAACUGACGUUGAGGCUCGAAAGCGUGGGGAGCAAACAGGAUUAGAUACCCGUGUA